rnacentral:rRNA from 1 species
GACGAACGCUGGCGGCGUGCUUAACACAUGCAAGUCGAACGGUGAAGCGAGUGCUUGCACUCGUGGAUCAGUGGCGAACGGGUGAGUAACACGUGAGUAACCUGCCCAUCACUCUGGGAUAAGCACUGGAAACGGUGUCUAAUACUGGAUACGACCAACCCUUGCAUGGGGUGUUGGUGGAAAGAUUUAUCGGUGUUGGAUGGACUCGCGGCCUAUCAGCUUGUUGGCGGGGUAAUGGCCCACCAAGGGGGCGACGGGUAGCCGGCCUGGGAGGGUGACCGGCCACACUGGGACUGAGACACGGACCAGAAUCCUACGGGAGGCAGCAGUGGGGAAUAUUGCACAAUGAGGGAAAGCCUGAUGCAGCGACGCCGCGUGAGGGAUGCCGGCCUUCGGGUUGUAAACCUCUUUCAGCAGGGAAGAAGCGAAAGUGACGGUACCUGCAGAAGAAGCACCGGCUAACUACGUG